rnacentral:rRNA from 1 species
AUUGAACGCUGGCGGCACGCCUAACACAUGCAAGUCGAACGGCAGCACGAGGUAGAGUAAUCUACCUGGGUGGCGAGUGGCGGACGGGUGAGUAACGCGUAGGAAUAUGCCUUUAAGCCUGGGAUAGCCUUGGGAAACGGAGGGUAAUACCGGAUGCUCUCUGCGGAGGAAAGCUAGGUACCUUAGGGCCUGGCACUUAAAGAAUAGCCUGCGUCCGAUUAGCUAGUUGGUAGGGGAAAGGCCUACUAAGGCGACGAUCGGUAGCUGGUCUGAGAGGAUGGACAGCCACACUGGGACGGAGACACGGCCCAGACUCCUACGGGAGGCAGCAGUGGGGGAUAUUGGACAAUGGGGGCAACCCUGAUCCAGCGAUGCCGCGUGUGUGAAGAAGGCCUGAGGGUUGUAAAGCACUUUCAGUGGGGAGGAGAGGUGGUAGGUUAAGAGCUAACGACUGAGACGUUACCCACAGAAGAAGCACCGGCUAACUCCGUGCCAGCAGCCGCAGUAA